CACAGGUUUACAGCUCAACCUCUAAAGUCCCAUAUCUGGCUGAGGAGACUGUGGAUCAUCCAGAACAUCACCAGUGGUGUGAAUGCAUCCUCAAAGCCCCUAAGUGAGGGAGUACAUGGAUGCUGGGCAUGAUGAAGCGCAAACCUUGAUGUGCAACACCACCUUAUGAAUCUACAGUAGUUACAUUAACAUUUAGCAGACUCUUUUGUCUAAAGUGACUUACAAUUGAGGAGACAUUCAGCAAAUCAACAAGAAGAGGCGAUACACCCAAGAUGUGCUAAUUAUACAAAAAAUUUUAAGAAUUAAGAAUGCUUCUACAUGUGGUUUGUCAAGCCCACUUACGUGUGAAGCAGACUUCAUGCACAAUGUUUUGUUUUUUGUUUUUUAGAUAUAGGGAGUGGUUGUAAGAAAGUGUCUGGUGCAAAUGUGCAGAAAUGAUGCAAGUGUCAGAGAGGUGAAUGUGUGUAGCUAUUGCAUGUUCUGUGAUGGUUGGUCUAAUUUAUGGUGUAGUGCUGAUCGUGUUACUUUGCUUUAAAAUGUUAAUCUGUCUUUGAACAACUGAAGUGUUAUCUGCUUUUUCAGUGUAAAAAAGGUACAGUAUAGUUUACAAAAGAAGACUUAAUUUUUCUAAGUAUAUUUUUGAUAAAUCAUUUGAAGGCAGAAUAUUGUUUUUGAAUGUUUUUUGUAAUAUAUGAAAAGUAUUAUUUUGAAAAGUGUAUUUUAUGUUUUUCUAAGCAUAAUUUUAAAAUCAUUUAUUGUUUUCAAUUUGCUUCAUACUUGUAUUACUAUUAUUUUAAUAGUAUUAAUAUGUUAACUUAUU
ensembl:processed_transcript